rnacentral:rRNA from 1 species
AUGGAAGAGGUGGAAAAUACCAGCAAGCGCAAAGCACCCGAGCUGGAUUCCGAGGACAGUUCCGCUGCCGCUGUUAUGAAUGGACAGCAGUCGCUGCCUGGCUCGGCUGCCAAGCGUCAGAACCUCGCCCGGUCGUGCAUCCAUGAGGUUGCUGCCCCCAAUGGCUACGAUUUGUCUAAGGACGAGGCCGUACAUGGGACCCUUUCAAACCCUGUGUUUAAUGGGAACAUGGCCAAGACAUACCCGUUUCAGCUCGACCCCUUCCAGACUGUCUCGGUCGCCUGCUUGGAGAGGAACGAAUCUGUCUUGGUCUCAGCUCACACCUCUGCGGGGAAGACAGCCAUUGCUGAGUACGCCAUUGCAAUGUCGUUUAGAGACAAGCAGAGGGUUAUAUAUACCUCUCCACUGAAGGCUCUGAGCAAUCAGAAGUACCGUGAGCUUAGUCAGGAGUUUUCUGAUGUUGGUUUGAUGACUGGUGAUGUCACGCUUCAGCCAAAUGCUACUUGCCUGGUCAUGACGACGGAAAUCCUGAGGGCAAUGCUCUAUAGGGGUUCUGAGGUGAUCAAGGAAGUUGGUUGGGUUAUAUUUGAUGAGAUCCACUACAUGAAGGACCGGGAGAGAGGCGUUGUGUGGGAAGAGAGUAUAGUUUUCCUUCCACCUGCCAUCAAGAUGGUCUUUCUUUCUGCCACCAUGUCGAAUGCAACUGAGUUUGCUGAGUGGAUAUGCAAUCUGCACAAGCAGCCUUGUCAUGUGGUGUACACAGACUUCAGGCCGACACCGUUACAGCACUACGUGUUCCCAAUAGGUGGGUCUGGUCUCUACCUCGUAGUAGAUGAAAAUGGUCAGUUCAGGGAGGAUAAUUUUCUGAAGCUGCAAGACACAUUUGCGAAGCAACCUAGUCAACUAGAUGGGAAGAAGAAUGGUGGGCCUAAAGCCAGUGGUCGAAUUGCAAAAGGCGGGAAUGCUUCUGGAACUUCUGACAUAUACAGAAUUGUCAAGAUGAUUAUGGAGCGCAAGUUUCAACCAGUCAUUAUUUUCAGCUUUAGUAGAAGGGAAUGUGAGCACCAUGCGAUGUCGAUGUCAAAACUUGAUUUCAACACUGAAGAAGAAAAGGAUAGCAUUGAACAGGUUUUCCGUAGUGCUAUUUUCUGUUUAAGCGAGGAAGAUAGAGGUUUACCUGCUAUAGAGUUGAUGUUGCCUCUUCUUAAACGAGGUAUUGCAGUACACCAUUCUGGACUGCUUCCAAUAAUUAAGGAGCUGGUGGAAUUGCUCUUCCAAGAAGGUCUUGUGAAAGCUCUCUUUGCUACUGAGACGUUUGCCAUGGGACUGAACAUGCCUGCAAAAACAGUUGUCUUUACAUCUGUCAAAAAAUGGGAUGGUGAUAGUAACCGUUUUAUUGGUUCUGGAGAAUAUAUACAGAUGAGUGGAAGAGCCGGUCGGCGUGGGAAGGAUGAACGUGGCAUUUGUGUUAUAAUGAUAGAUGAAAAGAUGGAAAUGAGUGUUAUCAAGGACAUGGUGUUAGGUAAACCAGCACCUCUCAUCAGUACUUUCCGACUGAGCUACUACACCAUUCUGAAUUUGCUGAGUCGCGCGGAGGGCCAAUUUACUGCUGAACAUGUGAUCCGGAAUUCAUUCCACCAGUUUCAGUAUGAAAAGGCAUUACCUGAAGUGGUUCAGAAGAUUACAAGGUUGGAAAAUGAAGCUAGCUUGCUGGGCUCUUCGGGAGAGAAUGAUCUUGCUGAAUAUCACAAAUUGGGGCUUGAUAUAUCUGAACUUGAGAAGAAAAUCAUGUCUGAGAUGAUUAGACCAGAGAGAGCUUUGUUAUAUUUGGUUCCUGGAAGGCUGGUUAAGGUGAGGGAUGGUUCAACAGACUGGGGAUGGGGUGUGGUUGUAAAUGUUGUAAAGAAACCUUCAACAUCUAGUAGUCUCCCCCCUGCAUUAAGUGCAUCCCGCAAUAAUAACUAUAUAGUGGAUACCUUGCUUCAUUGUUCUUCUAGUUCGAGUGAGAGCGGAUUGCAUUCGAAGCCAUGCCCACCUCGCCCUGGGGAGAAGGGAGAAAUGCAUGUGGUGCCUGUACCAUUACCUUUAGUAUGUGGUCUAAGCAGCAUUAGAAUCAGCAUUCCAUCUGAUCUGCGACCACCUGAAGCAAGACAAAACAUACUUUUUGCAGUUCAAGAACUAGGAAAGCGUUACCCCCAAGGGCUUCCAAAGCUACAUCCAAUUACGGACAUGGGUAUUGAAGAACCUGAAUUAGUUGACCUGGUUCAUAAACUUGAGGAUCUUGAGCAGAAACUAUGUUCUCACCCACUUCAUAAGUCUGAUCAAAGUGAGCAGCAACUGUCAUGGUACCAAAGAAAAGCUGAACUGAAUCAUGAAAUUCAGCAACUAAAGUCAAAGAUGCGGGAUUCACAGCUACAAAAAUUUAGGGAUGAACUGAAAAACCGGUCUCGUGUUCUGAAGAUGCUGGGUCAUAUUGAUGCGGAUGGUGUUCUCCAGUUAAAGGGGCGUGCUGCCUGUUUGAUAGACACUGGGGAUGAGCUGCUUAUCACUGAGCUUAUGUUUAAUGGUACAUUUAAUGAUCUUGAUCAUCAUCAAGUUGCUUCCGUUGUUAGCUGCUUUGUUCCGUGUGAGAAGUCAAGUGAGCAAAUACGCCUGAGAAAUGAGCUUUCUAAACCAAUGAUGCAGCUCCAGGAGGCUGCAAGAAAAAUAGCUGAGGUACAACGGGAAUGCAAAUUGGACAUCAAUGUUGAGGAAUAUGUUGAAUCAACUUGUAAACCCUACCUGAUGGACGUCAUAUACUGCUGGUCAAAGGGCGCCACAUUCGGAGAGGUGACAGAAAUGACUGACAUUUUUGAAGGAAGCAUCAUACGGCUAGUUAGGAGGCUGGAUGAAUUUCUGAAUCAGCUAAAAGCCGCUGCUGAAGCUGUUGGGGAGGUCAACCUUGAGAACAAGUUUGGAUCGGCGAGUGAGAGCUUACGCCGUGGCAUCAUGUUUGCUAACUCAUUGUAUCUGUGA